rnacentral:rRNA from 1 species
UACGGGGGGGGCAAGCGUUGUUCGGAAUUACUGGGCGUAAAGGGUUUGUAGGUGGCCGGCUAAGUCAGACGUGAAAUCCCUCAGCUUAACUGGGGAACUGCGUCUGGGACUGGUCGGCUUGAGGGCCGGAGAGGAACGCGGAAUUCCAGGUGUAGCGGUGAAAUGCGUAGAUAUCUGGAGGAACACCGGUGGCGAAGGCGGCGUUCUGGGUAGAUACUGACGCUGAGGUGCGAAAGCGUGGGGAGCAAACAGG